rnacentral:tRNA from 1 species
CAGGUUAUAGCUUAUUUAACAAAGCUUAUUAUUUACAUUAAUAGGAAAAUUUAUUGAUUUGAUCUGA